rnacentral:rRNA from 1 species
AACGAACGCUGGCGGCAUGCCUAACACAUGCAAGUCGAACGAACCCUCCGGGGUCAGGGUCGCAUGGUUGUGUAACGCGAGGGAAUCUUACCUCUUGGUUGGAAUAACUCAGGGAAACGUGUGAUAAUACCGGACGAUGUCUUCUGACGAAAGAUUUAUUGGCCAGGGAUGAGCCCGCGUGGGGUUAGGUAUUUGGGUGGGUAAUGGCCUAACAAGCGGAGCAUUCUUAGCUGGGCAGAGAGGAUGAUCAGCCACACUGGGAGUGAGAAGCGGCCCGGACUCCUACGGGAGGCAGCAGUGGCGAAUGUUGCACCAUGGGCGGAGGCCUGAUGCACCACUGCCGGGUGAGUGAUGAAAGCCGUGGAGUCGUAAAGCUCUUUUACCAGGGAUGAUCUUGACGGUACCUGGUCAAUAAGCUCCGGCUAACUCCGUG